rnacentral:lncRNA from 1 species
AUCACAUUCUUUACAUUUCUCUACUCUUGCUAACUCUAGCAUUCUCGUUCGUUACAAUACUUGUUCUUAUUGCCCCACUUUACUUUACUUUACACAUUGUCAUUUUCAUCAUUCUUUACAUCACUUUGGUUCUUUGCAUCACACUACCUCUAGUGUUGCUUUACUUUAACUUUAUUCUUUUCAUCAUUCUUUACUUUUCAAAUGCCACUCGAUCUAGGUCAU